rnacentral:lncRNA from 1 species
UUCGAGAUCCAGAUCGAGAGAACCACUGUGAGAGAGAGGACGAAAUCGAGAUCGAGAGAAUGAGUGAGAGAGGACGAGUGACAGUGAGAGUGAGAGAUUGUCGAAUCGAGAGAGGAAUCAAAAGGAACCGAGACGAAUUGAGGGUUUGAGUUUGUUUGCUUUUGUUCUUGACAUCGAGAGAGAGAGAGAGAGAGAGAGAGAGAGAGAGCUAUGUUUGAGUUUACGCGUCUGAGACUGUUUUGCAC